rnacentral:rRNA from 1 species
CCUACGGGAGGCAGCAGUAGGGAAUAUUGCGCAAUGGGCGAAAGCCUGACGCAGCGACGCCGCGUGAGCGAUGAAGGUCUUCGGAUCGUAAACCUCUGUCAGCAGGGAAGAACGGUCACUGUGGUAAUUAGUAGCGAAUUGACGGUACCUGCACAGAAAGCAACGGCUAACUACGUGCCAGCAGCCGCGGUAAUACGGAGGGUGCGAGCGUUAAUCGGAAUUAUUGGGCGUAAAGCGAUCGUAGGCGGUAUGUUAAGUCAAGGGUGAAAUCCCCGGGCUCAACGUGGGAACCGCCUUGGAAACUGGCAAACUAGAGUGUGUGAGAGGAUAGUGGAAUUCCAGGUGUAGCGGUGAAAUGCGUAGAUAUAUGGAGGAACACCAGAGGCGAAGGCGACUAUCUGGCACAUAACUGACGCUGAGGAGCGAAAGCGUGGGUAGCAAACAGGAUUAGAUACCCGUGUAGUC